rnacentral:rRNA from 1 species
AUUGAACGCUGGCGGCAUGCCUUACACAUGCAAGUCGAACGGUAACAGGUCUUCGGAUGCUGACGAGUGGCGAACGGGUGAGUAAUACAUCGGAACGUGCCCGAUCGUGGGGGAUAACGCAGCGAAAGCUGUGCUAAUACCGCAUACGAUCUACGGAUGAAAGCGGGGGAUCGCAAGACCUCGCGCGGACGGAGCGGCCGAUGGCAGAUUAGGUAGUUGGUGGGAUAAAAGCUUACCAAGCCGACGAUCUGUAGCUGGUCUGAGAGGACGACCAGCCAGACUGGGACUGAGACACGGCCCAGACUCCUACGGGAGGCAGCAGUGGGGAAUUUUGGACAAUGGGCGCAAGCCUGAUCCAGCCAUGCCGCGUGCAGGAUGAAGGCCUUCGGGUUGUAAACUGCUUUUGUACGGAACGAAAAAGUUCUCUCUAAUACAGGGGGCGAACGAUGGUACCGUAAGAAUAAGCACCGGCUAACUACGUGCCAGCCGCCGCAGUAAGAC